rnacentral:rRNA from 1 species
GACGAACGCUGGCGGCGUGCCUAAUACAUGCAAGUAGAACGCACAGUUUAUACCGUAGCUUGCUACACCAUAGACUGUGAGUUGCGAACGGGUGAGUAACGCGUAGGUAACCUGCCUGGUAGCGGGGGAUAACUAUUGGAAACGAUAGCUAAUACCGCAUAAUAUUAAUUAUUGCAUGGUAAUUAAUUGAAAGGUGCAAUUGCACCACUACCAGAUGGACCUGCGUUGUAUUAGCUAGUAGGUGAGGUAACGGCUCACCUAGGCGACGAUACAUAGCCGACCUGAGAGGGUGGUCGGCCACACUGGGACUGAGCAACGGCCCAGACUCCUACGGGAGGCAGCAGUAGGGAAUCUUCGGCAAUGGACGGAAGUCUGACCGAGCAACGCCGCGUGAGUGAAGAAGGUUUUCGGAUCGUAAAGCUCUGUUGUAAGAGAAGAACGGGUGUGAGAGUGGAAAGUUCACACUGUGACGGUAGCUUACCAGAAGGGGACGGCUAACUACGUG